AGAGUUUGAUCCUGGCUCAGGAUGAACGCUAGCGGCAGGCUUAACACAUGCAAGUCGAGGGGCAGCGGGGAGGAAGCUUGCUUUCUCCGCCGGCGACCGGCGCACGGGUGAGUAACACGUAUGCAACCUGCCCCUGUCAGGGGGACAACCCGCCGAAAGGCGGGCUAAACCCGCGUACAUGCCACCGGGGCAUCCCGGAGGCAGGAAAGGCUUCGGCCGGACAGGGAUGGGCAUGCGGCGCAUUAGGCAGUAGGCGGGGUAACGGCCCACCUAACCGACGAUGCGUAGGGGUUCUGAGAGGAAGGUCCCCCACACUGGUACUGAGACACGGACCAGACUCCUACGGGAGGCAGCAGUGAGGAAUAUUGGUCAAUGGUCGGGAGACUGAACCAGCCAAGCCGCGUGAGGGAGGAAGGUACAGAGUAUCGUAAACCUCUUUUGUCAGGGAACAAAGGCGGGGACGUGUCCCCGGAUGAGUGUACCUGAAGAAAAAGCAUCGGCUAACUCCGUGCCAGCAGCCGCGGUAAUACGGAGGAUGCGAGCGUUAUCCGGAUUUAUUGGGUUUAAAGGGUGCGCAGGCGGUCUGUUAAGUCAGCGGUCAAAGCCCGGGGCUCAACCCCGGCCCGCCGUUGAAACUGGCAGUCUCGAGUUGGAGAGGAGUAUGCGGAAUGCGCGGUGUAGCGGUGAAAUGCAUAGAUAUCGCGCAGAACUCCGAUUGCGAAGGUAGCAUGCCGGCUCCACACUGACGCUGAGGCACGAAAGCGUGGGUAUCGAACAGGAUUAGAUACCCUGGUAGUCCACGCUGUAAACGAUGGAUACUAGGUGUGCGGGGACUGACCCCCUGCGUGCCGCAGUUAACACAAUAAGUAUCCCACCUGGGGAGUACGAUCGCAAGGUUGAAACUCAAAGGAAUUGACGGGGGCCCGCACAAGCGGUGGAUUAUGUGGUUUAAUUCGAUGCAACGCGAAGAACCUUACCAGGGCUUGACAUCACCGUGAAGCGGCGGAGACGCCGUGGCCGAGAGGAGCGGUGACAGGUGGUGCAUGGCUGUCGUCAGCUCGUGUCGUGAGAUGUUGGGUUAAGUCCCGCAACGAGCGCAACCCCUGCCGCGUGUUGCCAGCAUUCAGUUGGGCACCCGCGCGGGACCGCCGGCGUCAAGCCGGAGGAGGGUGGGGACGACGUCAAGUCAUCAUGCCCCUUAUGUCCUGGGCUGCACACGUGCUACAAUGGCCGGCACAACGGGCUGCGACCGCGCGAGCGGAAGCGAAUCCCUCAAAGCCGGCCCCAGUUCGGAUCGGAGGCUGCAACCCGCCUCCGUGAAGUCGGAGUUGCUAAUAAUCGCGGAUCAGCACGCCGCGGUGAAUGCGUUCCCGGGCCUUGCACUCACCGCCCGUCAAG
rnacentral:rRNA from 1 species